AACGAACGCUGGCGGCAUGCCUAACACAUGCAAGUCGAACGAGACCUUCGUGUCUAUUUGCGCACGUGUGCGUACCGCCUGGGAACCUGCCCUUAGGUUCGGUAUCCCUCCCCGUGAGGGGUGCUAAUAACGGUUAAUGUCUUCGCACCUAAGAUUUAUCGCUUUGGGAUGGGCCCUCGUUGGAUUCGCGAGUUGGUAGGGUAAAAGCCUACCAUGGCGACGAUGCAUAGCUGGUCUGAUAGCAUGAUCAGCUGCACUGGAACUGAGACACGGCCUAGACUGGGACGGGAGGGAGCAGAGGAGAAUAUUGGACGAGGAGGGAAAGUCUGAUACAGCAGUGUCGGGGAAGUGAUGAAGGCGGUAGGGUUGUAAAGCUCUUUGAGCCGGGAUGAGAAUGACAGUAACGGGAGAAGAAGCACCGGCUAACUCCGUG
rnacentral:rRNA from 1 species